rnacentral:pre_miRNA from 14 species
UGUUAGGGGGUGAAAGACCCCUGGAGCGGGGAGACCCUCACUCAAGUCUCGGGAUGACGCGACCUCCCAAGAACUCACACAAGACC